rnacentral:rRNA from 1 species
UACGAAGGGGGCUAGCGUUGCUCGGAAUCACUGGGCGUAAAGCGCACGUAGGCGGAUCGUUAAGUCGGAGGUGAAAUCCUGGAGCUCAACUCCAGAACUGCCUUCGAUACUGGCGAUCUUGGAGUCCGGGAGAGGUGAGUGGAACUCCGAGUGUAGAGGUGAAAUUCGUAGAUAUUCGGAAGAACACCAGUGGCGAAGGCGGCUCACUGGCCCGGUACUGACGCUGAGGUGCGAAAGCGUGGGGAGCAAACAGGG